CACGUAGGGCGCGAGCGUUGUCCGGAAUUAUUGGGCGUAAAGAGCUCGUAGGCGGCCUGUUGCGUCCGCUGUGAAAGCCCGGGGCUUAACCCCGGGUCUGCAGUGGAUACGGGCAGGCUAGAGGUAGGUAGGGGAGAAUGGAAUUCCCGGUGUAGCGGUGAAAUGCGCAGAUAUCAGGAGGAACACCGGUGGCGAAGGCGGGUCUCUGGGCCGUUACUGACGCUGAGGAGCGAAAGCGUGGGGAGCGAACAGG
rnacentral:rRNA from 1 species